CUGAAACCCUUUGUGUAUGGAAUCCACAGAACAGAUAAAGCACAGGCAGCAAUACUACACUCCCCCUCACACUGCCCUGCCAAUAUACCUCAAUCCUGACCUAGAAGGUUCAUUAUCUAAGAUCCAUUGAAUUCUUCACCUGUCUGCUAAG
rnacentral:sRNA from 1 species